rnacentral:rRNA from 1 species
UACGUAGGGGGCAAGCGUUGUCCGGAAUCAUUGGGCGUAAAGAGCGUGUAGGCGGCUCGAUAAGUCUGCUGUGAAAUCUCCCGGCUUAACUGGGAGGGUGCGGCGGAGACUGGAGUGCUAGAGUGUGGGAGAGGUAAGCGGAAUUCCUGGUGUAGCGGUGAAAUGCGUAGAUAUCAGGAGGAACACCUGUGGUGUAGACAGCUUACUGGACCACGACUGACGCUGAGACACGAAAGCGUGGGUAGCAAACAGG